rnacentral:rRNA from 1 species
UGGGGAAUAUUGCACAAUGGAGGGAACUCUGAUGCAGCGACGCCGCGUGAACGAAGAAGGCUUUCGAGUCGUAAAGUUCUUUUAUAUGGGAAGAUAAUGACGGUACCAUAAGAAAAAGCCCCGGCUAACUACGUGCCAGCAGCCGCGGUAAUACGUAGGGGGCAGGCGUUGUCCGGAAUCACUGGGCGUAAAGGGUUCGCAGGCGGAAAUGCAAGUCAGGUGUAAAAGGCAGUAGCUUAACUACUGUAAGCAUUUGAAACUGCAUAUCUUGAGAAGAGUAGAGGUAAGUGGAAUUUUUAGUGUAGCGGUGAAAUGCGUAGAUAUUAAAAAGAAUACCGGUGGCGAAGGCGACUUACUGGGCUCAUUCUGACGCUGAGGAACGAAAGCGUGGGUAGCAAACAGG